rnacentral:tmRNA from 1 species
GGGGCUGUUUUGGCUUCGACGAGAGAUCAUUGAAAUCGUGCAGUGCAAGUCGCGGUGUUUGUCCCGCGUUACCAAGACAAACUAGUAGACAAGUGCAAAAAAUCUUGUUAGCAGAGUCGCUGACGCUUUCCGCGUAAACGCCUUUGCGCCAGCAGUAGCCUAAAGCAUACUGCCAUCCUUCUUUGACUGUUCGGAAUCAAAGAUAAGGGUGUCAUAUAUCCGAACUGCCUUGUUAUGACACCGAUAAAUGACAAAUAAGACCCAUCGGUUAGGAAAUCUGGUUUUUGUCCUGAUUUCUACCGGUUUUCCAAAACUACCAAUCAGGUCUAAGCUUGCUAAAGUUGUGCGGUUUUAACUUUCGGACAUGGGUUCAAAUCCCAUCAGCUCCACCA